CGAUAACUUCAAAAAUGAAACCUGAAAACGAAAUCCAAAUCUGCAAAACAAAAAGAGCCCCAAAAUCGAAGAGUAAAAAACCAUUAAGAUCAAUAUUUAUAAAAUCGAUAUACAUUCUUCCUCACGAGAUUUUACCUUUUAUUAAGUAUUUAUCAUUUCCACCAUACAAGCAGUCGCGUUCGUCCUGAACUGGUAUGUCAGUGUGUAAAUGACACAGAAAUAUUAUAUAUGAGCAAAUAUGAAGGACGCAGAAAAGGAAAAGAAAUAAAGACAGAAUCCAGACUCAAACUCGGACGAUAUGGAAAGUGGGAAUGAGUUCGAAUAGCC
rnacentral:lncRNA from 1 species